UACGAAGGGGGCUAGCGUUGCUCGGAUUGACUGGGCGUAAAGCGCGCGUAGGCGGCUUUGUAAGUUAGAGGUGAAAGCCCAGGGCUCAACCCUGGAAUUGCCUUUAAGACUGCAUCGCUUGAACAUCGGAGAGGUAAGUGGAAUUCCGAGUGUAGAGGUGAAAUUCGUAGAUAUUCGGAAGAACACCAGUGGCGAAGGCGACUUACUGGACGAUUGUUGACGCUGAGGUGCGAAAGCGUGGGGAGCAAACAGG
rnacentral:rRNA from 1 species